AUCCAGUUUAUUGACCAAUUAUGUUUUUUCAUUUUCUUAACUUUUUGUCAUUUCAGUAAAAGAGUUCAAGACAGAAACAUCCUCAUCUCAAAUUUGUCUGCAUUACCAUUUCUUCAAUCCUUCAAAUCUGAUGCGAUCGCACCAGCUGUAAUAGAAGGAAGACAUGAAUUGGGUUCAGCGAAAGAUCCACCUUUACAAUGUUACUUUCGGGCUUUAUAUGUUGGAUUGGUGGGAGCGUUGUUCAUUCAAUAUCUUGGUGAUUGUACUAAUGUGUUUCGUAGUACGGUACAUUACCCGGUUCUUCAAGAGGUACAUUCUGGGUAUUGUUUAAGUGUGUCAGAUAACUCAUGCAAGAAACCAAAUCGUUCUCAUGUGAAAUUGUCGGAUGCCAAUGCAGAUCUUGUAGCUGUUUGAUAUGGACAGAUUUAGGAGUUUAUUAAAGCUGUCAAAAAAGUUGGAAUGUUCAUAUAUGUGAUAUUUAUUUUCUUAUAAGCUUGUUUUGCAUGUGCAUUUACAUUUUUGACACUGUAAUUAUUAUUGGUAAUGUUCAUUAUUAAACUUUUUGAACACUUUUUUUU